rnacentral:rRNA from 1 species
UACGAAGGGGGCGAGCGUUGUUCGGAUUUACUGGGCGUAAAGCGCGCGCAGGCGGUCUUCCAAGUCAGUGGUGAAAGCCCGGAGCUCAACUCCGGAACUGCCAUUGAAACUGUUAGACUUGAGGAUGAGAGAGGUGAGUGGAAUUCCCCAGUGUAGAGGUGAAAUUCGUAGAUAUUCGGAGGAACACCAGUGGCGAAGGCGGCUCACUGGUCCGGUACUGACGCUGAGGUGCGAAAGCGUGGGGAGCAAACAGG